CGCAGGGUAGAGCAGCGGUUAGCUCGUCUGGCUCAUAACCAGAAGGAGCUGGGACAGAACCGGCACCCGUUACCA
rnacentral:tRNA from 1 species